rnacentral:rRNA from 1 species
UAACCUACGGGACGCAGCAGUGGGGGAUAUUGCACAAUGGGGGAAACCCUGAUGCAGCGACGCCGCGUGGGCGAAGAAGUAUUUCGGUAUGUAAAGCCCUCUCCUCCGGGAAGACUCCCUGACGGUACCUGAGUAAGAAGCACCGGCUAAAUACGUGCCAGCAGCCGCGGUAAUACCUAUGGUGCAAGCGUUAUCCGGAUUUACUGGGUGUACACGGAGCGCAGGCGGCACGGCAAGCCUGAUGUGAAAGCCCGCGGCCCAACCGCGGGACUGCAUUGGGAACUACCGGGCUGGAGUGCCGGAGG